UUAGGACUAGCCUCAAGUUAGAUACCUGGAGGUAAAGCACUGAAUAGCCUAGCGGCCGAGAGGUUAGCGAAGCUUAUCAAACUCAGAAUGCCAGAGUAUUGAUGCUUGGGAGUCAGACAGUGUCAGAUAAAUGUCAUUGUCAAAAGGGAAACAGCCCAGAUCUACAGCUAAGGUCCCAAAGUCAGGUUAAGUGGAAAACGAUGUGAAGAUACGCAGACAACCAGGAUGUUGGCUCAGAAGCAGCCACUCAUUCAAAGAGUGCGUAAUAGCUCACUGGUCGAGCGUCUUUGCGCGGAGAAUUUAACGGGGCUAAACCUGACACCGAAGCUUAGGCAAUGUAGUAAUACAUUGGGUAGGGGAGCGUUGUAUACGCGGAGAAACAGUAGCGUAAGCGGCUGUGGAGUGUAUAGAAGUGAGAAUGCCGGAAUGAGUAGCGCGAAUGCAGUGAGAAUCUGCAUGGCCGAAAGCCUCAGGUUUCUGGAGGAAGGUUCGUCCGCUCCAGGUUAGUCGGGAGCUAAGGUGAGGCCGGAAGGCGUAGCCGAUGCACAGACGGUAGAGAUUCCGUCACCACCAAAAGAGUUAAGCACAGGGACACAUUUGAAGUCUCAGAGCCGGGUGUUGGUUCCGGUAGAGAUCGAGGGAAGUUAGUACCGAAGUCUGGGAUGGAAGAUGGCGAGAAAAGCUGUGUGUAUUUCUGAGGUGCCCGUACCGCAAACCGACACAGGUAGGUAGGAAGAAGAUUCUAAGGCCAACGGGAGAAGGGUUGUUAAGGAACUCGGCAAAUUGACCCCGUAACUUCGGGAGAAGGGGUGCUCCAGAGAUGGAGCCGCAGAGAAUCGGCCCAAGCAACUGUUUACCAAAAACACAGGUUUGUGCUAAAUCGAAAGAUGACGUAUACGAGCUGACGCCUGCCCGGUGCUGGAAGGUUAAGAGGAGAUGUGCAAGCAUUGAAUCGAAGCCCCAGUGAACGGCGGCCGUAACUAUAACGGUCCUAAGGUAGCGAAAUUCCUUGUCAGGUAAGUUCUGACCCGCAUGAAAGGCGUAAUGAUUUGGGCACUGUCUCAACAGCCCGCCCGGCGAAAUUGUAGUACCGGUGAAGAUGCCGGUUACCCGCGACAAGACGGAAAGACCCCAUGGAGCUUUACUGUAGCCUAAUAUUGGGUUUCGAUGUUGCAUGCACAGGAUAGAUGGGACACAGGGAAACAAGUGCUUUGGCAUUUGUGGAGUGGCCGUUGGGAUACCAUCCUUGCGAUAUUGGAAUUCUAACCUGCGCCUUUGAAUCAAGGCGGGGGACAUUGUUAGGUGGGCAGUUUGACUGGGGCGGUCGCCUCCUAAAGAGUAACGGAGGCGUUCAAAGGUUCGCUCAGCUUGAACGGAAAUCAAGCAAAAGAGUGCAAACGCAGAAGCGAGCCUAACUGCGAGACUGACGGGUCGAGCAGUAACGAAAGUUGGAGUUAGUGAUCCGGUG
rnacentral:rRNA from 1 species